rnacentral:rRNA from 1 species
AAAUUGAAGAGUUUGAUCAUGGCUCAGAUUGAACGCUGGCGGCAGGCCUAACACAUGCAAGUCGAACGGUAACAGGAAACAGCUUGCUGUUUCGCUGACGAGUGGCGGACGGGUGAGUAAUGUCUGGGAAACUGCCUGAUGGAGGGGGAUAACUACUGGAAACGGUAGCUAAUACCGCAUAACGUCGCAAGACCAAAGAGGGGGACCUUCGGGCCUCUUGCCAUCGGAUGUGCCCAGAUGGGAUUAGCUAGUAGGUGGGGUAAAGGCUCACCUAGGCGACGAUCCCUAGCUGGUCUGAGAGGAUGACCAGCCACACUGGAACUGAGACACGGUCCAGACUCCUACGGGAGGCAGCAGUGGGGAAUAUUGCACAAUGGGCGCAAGCCUGAUGCAGCCAUGCCGCGUGUAUGAAGAAGGCCUUCGGGUUGUAAAGUACUUUCAGCGGGGAGGAAGGGAGUAAAGUUAAUACCUUUGCUCAUUGACGUUACCCGCAGAAGAAGCACCGGCUAACUCCGUGCCAGCAGCCGCGGUAAUACGGAGGGUGCAAGCGUUAAUCGGAAUUACUGGGCGUAAAGCGCACGCAGGCGGUUUGUUAAGUCAGAUGUGAAAUCCCCGGGCUCAACCUGGGAACUGCAUCUGAUACUGGCAAGCUUGAGUCUCGUAGAGGGGGGUAGAAUUCCAGGUGUAGCGGUGAAAUGCGUAGAGAUCUGGAGGAAUACCGGUGGCGAAGGCGGCCCCCUGGACGAAGACUGACGCUCAGGUGCGAAAGCGUGGGGAGCAAACAGGAUUAGAUACCCUGGUAGUCCACGCCGUAAACGAUGUCGACUUGGAGGUUGUGCCCUUGAGGCGUGGCUUCCGGAGCUAACGCGUUAAGUCGACCGCCUGGGGAGUACGGCCGCAAGGUUAAAACUCAAAUGAAUUGACGGGGGCCCGCACAAGCGGUGGAGCAUGUGGUUUAAUUCGAUGCAACGCGAAGAACCUUACCUGGUCUUGACAUCCACAGAACUUUCCAGAGAUGGAUUGGUGCCUUCGGGAACUGUGAGACAGGUGCUGCAUGGCUGUCGUCAGCUCGUGUUGUGAAAUGUUGGGUUAAGUCCCGCAACGAGCGCAACCCUUAUCCUUUGUUGCCAGCGGUCCGGCCGGGAACUCAAAGGAGACUGCCAGUGAUAAACUGGAGGAAGGUGGGGAUGACGUCAAGUCAUCAUGGCCCUUACGACCAGGGCUACACACGUGCUACAAUGGCGCAUACAAAGAGAAGCGACCUCGCGAGAGCAAGCGGACCUCAUAAAGUGCGUCGUAGUCCGGAUUGGAGUCUGCAACUCGACUCCAUGAAGUCGGAAUCGCUAGUAAUCGUGGAUCAGAAUGCCACGGUGAAUACGUUCCCGGGCCUUGUACACACCGCCCGUCACACCAUGGGAGUGGGUUGCAAAAGAAGUAGGUAGCUUAACCUUCGGGAGGGCGCUUACCACUUUGUGAUUCAUGACUGGGGUGAAGUCGUAACAAGGUAACCGUAGGGGAACCUGCGGUUGGAUCACCUCCUUACCUUAAAGAAGC